AUGUGCUGUAAAAUACAGUAAUGUAUCGUUUAGAUAAGUUACUAUUUGGUCUGGAAAAUUGUGAAACAUAGUAUUUCAACACUUUUCCUCUCCUGCCAAAAGAACUUCAGAUUCACAGAAGACAGUUUAUUUCGAACAUAUGGAAAAGAUGAGGAAUGUUCUCCCAGAGAUAACCAUCUUUAUAACCUGCAGUUGAAAGGAUCUUCUUUUCCAGCUAUUGGACACUGCUUUUGUGUAUUAGCAGACCCAGGGGAACACGAUGUCAGUGGAACAGAAGGAUCAGCAUCAGCCCGUUUGACUUGCGCCGUAGCACUUCUGAGAUAAAUUGCUGGGCUCUCAGAGAUGUGAGAUGUCCCUACCUAAGGAAUGGUGUAUCUGGGCCUGGUGGCAGGUGGCCUGCAGGCAAGGGGAUGAGGAUUGGCAAGUGCACAAGGACUAGGACACAUCCUGCACCAGCAUCUUCAGGCUAUGACAGCUUCUGCCUUGCCCCCAUCCUGGGCAGCAAGUCCCAUUUCCUCAAUGGGAGCCCCAGGGGUGAGUCAGGAGAGGCAGGUGGAGUGACUGAAAUCUCCUACAGAUGAGACUGCAGAUGCUUGAAGAAGAAUGUAGUUUCUUUAUGCUUUAGUAAGUCCUGAGGUACCAGAGCUGGCAUGCUCUGAAGUUGGGAUAUUUAGCUGUGAAAGAGGUGUG
rnacentral:lncRNA from 1 species